rnacentral:rRNA from 1 species
GAUGAACGCUGGCGGCGUGCCUAAUACAUGCAAGUCGAGCGAAUGGAUUAAGAGCUUGCUCUUAUGAAGUUAGCGGCGGACGGGUGAGUAACACGUGGGUAACCUGCCCAUAAGACUGGGAUAACUCCGGGAAACCGGGGCUAAUACCGGAUAAUAUUUUGAACUGCAUGGUUCAAAAUUGAAAGGCGGCUUCGGCUGUCACUUAUGGAUGGACCCGCGUCGCAUUAGCUAGUUGGUGAGGUAACGGCUCACCAAGGCAACGAUGCGUAGCCGACCUGAGAGGGUGAGCGGCAACACUGGGACUGAGACACGGCCCAGACUCCUACGGGAGGCAGCAGUAGGGAAUCUUCCACAAUGGACGAAAGUCUGACGGAGCAACGCCGCGUGAGUGAUGAAGGCUUUCGGGUCGUAAAACCCUGUUGUUAGGGAAGAACAAGUGCUAGUUGAAUAAGCUGGCACCUUGACGGUACCUAACCAGAAAGCCACGGCUAACUACGUGCCAGCCGCCGCAGUAA